rnacentral:rRNA from 1 species
GAUGAACGCUGGCGGCGUGCCUAAUACAUGCAAGUCGAGCGAACAGACGAGGAGCUUGCUCCUCUGACGUUAGCGGCGGACGGGUGAGUAACACGUGGAUAACCUACCUAUAAGACUGGGAUAACUUCGGGAAACCGGAGCUAAUACCGGAUAAUAUAUUGAACCGCAUGGUUCAAUAGUGAAAGACGGUUUUGCUGUCACUUAUAGAUGGAUCCGCGCCGCAUUAGCUAGUUGGUAAGGUAACGGCUUACCAAGGCAACGAUGCGUAGCCGACCUGAGAGAGGGGGCGGCCACACUGGACCCGAGGCAGGAGCCAGACUCCUACGGGGAGCAGCGGGAGGGAAUAUGCAGGAAGGGGCGAAGGCCGAACAGAGCAAAGCAGCGUGAAUGAUGAAGGUCUGAGGAUCGUAAAACUCUGUUAUUAGGGAAGAACAUAUGUGUAAGUAACUGUGCACAUCUUGACGGUACCUAAUCAGAAAGCCACGGCUAACUACGUG